rnacentral:lncRNA from 10 species
CUCCUCCCCGCUGCAAACAGCGUGAAAUUCUGUGGCUCCACCCCAGCGCACUGCUCCCAGUGUGCAGGCCGGCUGGAGUUUUUCCGGGGAUCCUUUCCUACCUGGCUGUCUCAAUAAGAACUGAGCAGGAUAGCUUCCUACAAAUUAAUUGAGUUCAUACUAAGCUAAGAAGAUAUUUUGCCAUAAACCAAGAAGUUGUUGUUGUCUUCAGGUGUAAGAGUCAACUUUCUAAAGAAAAGUUCUGGAGACUGGGAAGUCCAGUAUUAAGGAGCUGUUAUUUGACGUCUUGUGAGAACCUUCUUGCUGUGUCCCCAAAGGGAAGAAGGUGGAAGAGUGAAAGGAAAAAGAAUCUACUCUCUGAAAACCUUUUAUAAGGGCCCCAAUCCCAUGCAUGAAGGCUCCACCCACGUGACUUAAUCACCUUGUAACUUAAGCACCCACCUAUUAAUACUACCACAUUGUUGAUUAAGUUUCAACAUAUGAAUUAUGGAGGACAUAUUCAGACUAGAGUAGAAAUAAAGCAAAAUAUAGAUAUUUCUGCAUAGUGCCAUAUUUAACAAAUUGUGUGCUGUAAAUUUGUGUUAUUUGUAUUAGUAAAAAAUAUGUAACAUUUAAACCAAAUUUAAAAUUAUCACGAGUACAGAAUCAUAAAUCCUUUUAUGGGUCUAUUGCAAGCCAAAGUAUUCUGUUGGAUUUCUGUUCAAAAUUGAAGUCAUUUUAGUCAAUUUAGUCCUCAGAUAUUAGUUCCUAUUAUAUAUGCAUCAUAUUAUUUAUCAUAUUGGUUACACAACACUUCCUCAAGUGAUUACUUCAUGAUUGAGCAGGAGACUUGCUAGGUUAUUAGAUAAUAAUAGGCAGUAUUUGAGAUUCUUCUGAAUGAUAUUUACAUAUAUAUUAGAAAUGAGAAAAGGCAAAAGGCCUUCACUACCUAAUGAAGUUAUUUCUGUGUGUGGUGGUGGUGAUGGAGAGAUGCAUAAACAAUUUUAAACAGUUGGGCCUUCCAAACCCUCUUAAUUUUAUAUGAUCAUUCACAUUGCUGAUAUAUCAAGUCCUGCAAAGAAAUAUAUAAAAAAUUCAUAAAAUUAAAGUGUUAAAUAAUUUCAAUGAAUGUAAAAUACUUCUUUUAAUCAUGAAAACACUCCUAGAACAUUUUCUCCUCCUACCCAGAACAAUAACAAUUAAAGUAUUCCAGGAAUGUUGACGACUCAUUACAUAAGAAAGGAAAACUGGAAAUAGCACAAAGCUCCCAAUGGCCAAGUCAGAAUGAGAUAAAUCUCAUUAUGUAAGAUUACUAUUUUAUAUUUCUAUGAAUGCACAAGUUGUUCCUGAAGUAAUAGAGAGAAACAAGUGUUAGUGGGCUAAGUAUAUUUUUACAAAGAUAAUGACAAAUUUUAAUAACUACUUUGAAAUAUGUGACAUUUUAAAAUAUGGCAGCAUACUAAGAAUAAGUGAAUCCACUUUUCAUGGAUCAUUAUCUACAACACAUUUCCACUUUUAUGCCACAGAGAUUUUCAAGCCAUCGAAAGCAAUGUCACAGGAAGAUAAAGGGAGUCUUGCUGUUUUUCAAAGGGCAGGAAUGUUUACUCCUUUAAGAAAAACCAUUCUGACUGAAAGAUACCUAUUAUUUGAAAUAUGAAAUUCUAUGUCUUUCCUUAGAUCUGUAGAAUUAACAGAGACAAAGUGCUCUGUGAGAUGAAUUAAAACUAAAAACUUCUUAUUCUAAUUUGGGGUCUUAGAAAUACUAGGUAGAUAAUGUAGUUUGAAUAUAUGUGCCUGCCUAAUCACGUUAAAUGAUAAUACUCAGUGUAAAGGUGCGGCCUGGCAAGAGGUGUUUGGGUCAUGAGGGGGGAUCCACCCUGGCUUGGUGCUGUCCUCACAAUAGCAAGUUCUCUUGAGAUCUGGUUGGUUGACAGUAUAUGGCACCUCCUCUCCAACUCCCUCUUGAUCCUGUUUUCACCAUAUGACAUGCCUGCCCUGCUUUACCUUCCACUAUGAGUAAAAGCUCUCUAGGCCUUCCCAGAAGCUGAGAAGAUGCUUCCACUAUGCUUUCUGUACAGCCUGCAAAAAAUGUGAGCCAAUUACAUCUCUUUUCUUUUAAAUUACCCAGUCUCAAGUAUUCCUUUAUGGCAAUGUAAACAUGGCCUACUAAAGAAAACUGGUACCAAAAGAUACCUGAAAAUGUGGAAGGAGCUUUAGAACUGGAUAACAGGCAGAAGUUGGAAGAGUUAUGAGGCCUCGGGAGAAAAAAAGAAAAUGAGAUAAAGUUUGGAACUUCUUAAGGACUGGUUACAUGAUUGGAAACAAACUGUUGAUAUGGACAGUGAAUUCUCGGCUGGCAGGGUCUCAGAUGGAAAUGAGGAACUUAUAGGAAACUAGAGCAAAGGUCUGCCUUAGCAAAGAGCUUGGUGACAUUCUGUUAAUGACCCAGGGAUCAGUGGAAGUUUGAACUUGAGAGUGAUUACCAAGGGUAUGAGGCAGAAGAAAUUUCUAAGCAGCAAAGCAUUCAAGAUGUGGCCUAGCUGCUUCUAAGAGCCUAUGCUCAAAUGCAUUAAAAAAAUGGCUUAAAUUUGAAAUUUAUGUUUACAAAUGUAUAUUUGCAACAAAAACAUUUGGAAAAUUUACCACCAGGCCAUGUAACAAAGAAAGGAAAAGCUUUUUUUGGGGAGAGAAGCAUUCAUGCAGGCUGCAGAGAAAGCACUUGCUAGAGAAAUUUUCAUAACUAUAAGGGAGCAAAAAACUAAUAGCCAAGACCAUGGGAUAAAGACCUGGAAAGCAUUUAUCCUAUUUAUUCAUUUGUUGCUCAUUUAUUUUUUGUUUAUUUUAUUGGAAUAUAAGCUCUAUAAAAUAAAAUGGACCUGUUGCUCUUGCGUAUCACUGUAUGUCAAGAAGUUAUCAUACAGUAUGAGGCAGAGUGGGCACUAAACAAAUGUUUAUUUUGAUGAGGAAAAGAUGGAUAAAUUGAUGACAAAGGUGUGACAUAUUUCUUGUACAAAAAAAAAAAAGAACACCUUGGGGCACUAAAAGUAUAGAAAAAUUGCUAAGAAGCCAGAAGGGGGAAUUAAAUUAAAAUUAAUUAAGGAGAUUGAGAUCAAGAUGGCAAAAUAGAAACCUCCAGCAAUUGUCCCCCUUGCAGGGACACCAAGUUAACAACUAUUUACGCAGAAAAAACACCUUAAUAAGAACCAAAAAUCAGGUAAGCACUCACAGUACUUGGUUUUAAGUUCAUAUCACUGAAUGAGGCACUGAACGGAGAGAAAAACAGUCCUGAAUCACCAAUGUCAUCGCACUCUUACACCAAGCAGCUGUAGCUUGGUGUAGAGAGCAUCUCUUGGUGCUGGGGGAGGGAUUACACAGCAAAUGUGA